rnacentral:rRNA from 1 species
UACGUAGGGGGCUAGCGUUGUCCGGAAUCAUUGGGCGUAAAGCGCGCGUAGGUGGCCUCAUAAGUCCGCUGUGAAAGUCAAAGGCUCAACCUUUGAAAGCCGGUGGAUACUGUGAGGCUAGAGUACGGAAGAGGCGAGUGGAAUUCCUGGUGUAGCGGUGGAAUGCGCAGAUAUCAGGAGGAACACCAAUAGCGAAGGCAGCUCGCUGGGACGUUACUGACACUGAGGCGCGAAAGCGUGGGGAGCGAACAGG